UUAGGUUAAGUUAUGAAGGGCGCAUGGUGGAUGCCUUGGUACUAGGAGCCGAUGAAGGACGGGACUAACACCGAUAUGCUUCGGGGAGCUGUACGUAAGCUUUGAUCCGGAGAUUUCCGAAUGGGGAAACCCAAUUACUUUAAUCAGUAAUUACAACUCAGGGAAUACAUACUUGAGUUGAGGCAGAC
rnacentral:rRNA from 1 species